rnacentral:lncRNA from 1 species
UAAUUUUUUAUGAUUUAUUUAUGUAUAUGAAAGUCAGAGUUACACAGAGAGAGGAGAGGCAGAGAGAGAGUGGUCUUCCAUCUGAUGGUUCACUUCCCAAUUGGCCGCAAUGGCCAGAGCUGCUCUGAUCCGAAGCCAGGAGCCAGGAGCUUCUUCUGGGUCUCCCAUGCAGGUGCAGGGCCCCAAGGACUUGGGCCAUCUUCCACUGCUUUCCCAGGCCAUAGCAGAGAGCUGGAUUGGAAGUGGAACAGACGUGACUCGAACCAGUGCUCAUAUGGGAUGCUGGUGCUCCAGGCCAUGGAGUUAAUCUGCUGCACCACAGCGCUGGCCCCUCCUCUGAUUUUAAAAGCUACUGAUUUACAAGCUGUGAAUGAAUUGAAGCCUUCAGCAACAGGAAGCUCUGCCGUUGGGAAACCCUAUAGCUACAGCUGCAGCCCAGGGACCUGCUUGACUGCUUACAGGAAAACUCACUCCAGGAGCCCUCUGUAAUCAGAGUUGUUAACCAGAAGGAAAUGUCUUCAGUGUUCUUACAUGGCUCUUAAUCAGAUACUGACAGAGUGCCUUUGAUCAAUGCAUUUGCACCAUGAGGUUAGCCAUAGGGUUCAGUAUGUCCACAUAGAUUUCACAGUCAGCUCCAAAUGUACACAACCAACAGAGAAGCUAUUCAAGGCUGAUCCUGUUGCUGGCUCCAUCUCUGUCCUCUCAAC